GUACACAUAAAUACAAAUUUCUAUCUUUAAAUCUUUAAAUGUGCUUAGUUCCACAAAGCUGUUGCCUCUAGCUUUGGCGUUUCAAUCAAAUUUAGUGCCUUUGAUUGGCUUAACUUUUAGUGACUGAAAAAAAAUCUUUGAGUGCUUAUGAAAGGAAAUAAAAUGAAAAACAAAAAAAAGAACAAAAUUCUAUUAAAAUGGCGUUGAGCUGAAAACAUAAAAGCUGCUAUCCGGGAGGCUGAUGCUAGCGGCGGUUGGCAAGGCCAUUUCCAUUUCACAGAACAAAGCGCUGAAAGCUAAAAAUCAUCGACCACACUUUGGUCCACUCAAACUUGGCUUAAAAUCCCGCGCUACGGUUGCACAUGGCUCAAAUUUGUUAUUGUUGUUGUUACGCCCGAGGGCUGAAUACACGCAAAAAACAUAUGAGUAUGCGAGUUCCGUGUGGUCCUCAACGCAAAGGGUAAAGUUGAAUGUACGCCAGUUUUAUGUGAAUGGUCCUCUAGACAAGAGCAUACACACACUUAACCCGCAUAAGGCCCACCAGGCUUAAAGCAGGCGAGGGCAAAUGAGUGCAAAUGUACCCUAAAUCUAAGCUCAGACAUUAACAUAUUUUGUAGCAUAAUUUUUUGGACUAUAAAUAUACAAGAAAUCCAUGAUUUAUAGUGAUAGAUGCAAUUAAAGCCUGUUCAUAAAUUGCAACCAAUUUAAUAA